GUUGAGCCGAGAGACAUUUUGGAUGCCAUCUUGCAAAAUGAUUCCUUGCCUAGCUCUAAUCCUAUCAAGAUACCACCUUGCUCCCCAGACACCGCACCCAUAUUUGCAGAGAUGAAUUGAAUGUGUUUCCAUAACAACACCAGAGGAGGAAGAGGGGCUCUGAGGCCCCGUAUGAUUUUCCUCUCCUCUCCACUGAGGCUAGCAUCACAGGCUGUGGAAGCUUCCCCCUGAGAGCUCUCAGCAGGUUGGUGGAAAUCAGGAUGGUGAAUUUCAGCAUUGAUUUUAGGAGAUGAUAACUACCGCCACCUUAACUUCAACUGUUUUCUGGACUACUUUCUUGAUUUAGUAGAGACUGGACCAGAAAGGCCUGAGUUGUGUGUAGGCUUGCAGUUCCAGACAUUUGGGGAUCUUGCCUCAGCAGGA
rnacentral:lncRNA from 1 species